ensembl:lncRNA
GUGAGUUUGAAAAUAAGAAAAAUAUUUGCCAGUGGUUUAAGAAAAAUAAACAUUUUUUUUUUCUCAUCCCAUUGGCAGUUUUUUUAAGCAUAAACUCACUUAAUUCUGAAUCUUAUUUAUUUUAUUUUAUUUUAAAGAAGAAAAUAAGUAAAAUUAAGUGAGUUUUUUUUGGUGAAAAUGCGAAAAAUAUUUGCCAGUGGUUAAAGAAAAAUAAAAAAAAAUUAUAAAAAAAAUUUCACCCCAAUUGGCAGAUUUUUUUUCUUCAUAUUUUAAGCAUAAACUCAAUUUAUUUUAAAAAAGAAUGAAUAUAAGUAGUUUUGAGUAAGUAAAUGUAUCUUGAUUUAUGAAUGUUUCGAUAUGUGUACUGGAAAACAAGACAAAAAUACUAAGUUCAUUGUUUUAAUGCAUAAUGCAUUGCAUCAAACAAAGUGCCAGGGUAUAUUGUGUGUGUGUGUACAGUAUGUGUGAUUGUCUCUCUCUCAGGUGUAGUCAUAUUGAUACUUACAUAUGCUUUUUUUUUUUUUCUUUUUGAUUUAUGGAAGAAAGAAAUGGAAGUCAUACAGCUUUAAAACAACAUGAGGGUGAAUAAAUGACUUUAAUGAUCUGAAUCUAAAUGAUUUUUAUUGACUAUGAUGGUAAUGUGAUCACACCAGCAAAUCUUAUAUGUCAUGGAUGUGUUUAGGAAAUAGUCACGGCUCUUUAAUUGUCGAAGUUGUCUCUAGUCUGCUCCAGGCUUUACCAGAUGUCUGUGUGUUUAUUCAGUUCUUGCUGAAGGACCUAAGUUCUCUUAGCCGGAGGCUUGAGCACCUGCACGCAGUGACCGCUGGUGGCUCUAGGACAAGAGGUUUGAUUGACAGCAGCCCCGGCUGGAGUGUUAUUCAUAAAGAGGAUGUAACACACACUGAUAGACGUCUUUAUACAGCUGUCAUUCCAGAGCUGUCUGUUCUUCAUCUCAGAGUAAAAAAAAAAGUCUCCUGUUUUCCCGUCAUAAAUGAAAGGCUCUCCUGAGAGAGCAUGGCCCGGGUUCCUCACACAUCAGAUGAGAGACCUAAUAGUUUCAAAUCCAGCAGAGUGGGGAAGAUGCCAAGAGCAAAAUCUACCCAGACAUCAGAAUUUCCCAGGAAGAUAAAGAGCUUUUUGUGUGAGUAAUAUUUUAAGGAUGGGGGGAAAGACGGGACUUUGACGCACACACACACACACACACACACACACACACACUGAAACACUGUGAACUACAGUCUAUAGCAAGUUAAAAUAGACAUAUUGCAUAGAGAUGCUUUUUAUUAGAUUAGAUUUGAGUAGAGAUUCAGGAUUUCUGUCAACUUAAUUACAUGCAGUCGUUAUUUGAAUAGUUCGUCCAAAAAAUGAAAAUUUACAUUUAUUCAUUUAGCAGACGCUUUUAUCCAAAGAGACUUACAAAUGAGGACAAUGGAAGCAAUCAAAAUCAACAAAAGAACAAUAAUAUGCAAAAAUUUGGCAUGAUUUACCCUUAUUUUGUUCCAAGCCAGUAUUAUUUCACAUAAAAGACACACAAUCACAAACUCAUAUGCAAAUAUUAUGAUUACGUCAUCACCACUGUUUGAUUUCCAGUUGAAUAUUCUAUAUGAGUUUGAAUCAAUAGAGCGUUUUCAAAAUAUAUUCAGUUAAAUUAUUCAAAAGAAUAAAGUUUAUACUGAAAUAGUUCAAUUACAAUUUUUCAUGAUUUACUCACCCUCAUUUUGUUCCAACACAGUAUUAUUUUCUUCCUUAUUUUGGGCUAUCAAGGUUGAUUUUUUUUUUUUCAACUAUAUAAACUUUUGAGUGUGAAAACAUGUUGCAUCUAUGACUUUGUUAUGAAGCAAUCUUAAAUAUAUUGAAAGCUGCAGAUUUAAAGGCUAUUAUUUGAAUUCAGAAACCUAAACCUGGACAUGGAAUGAACAAUAUUUGCUUUCAAUGGGGAAUUUUUGUGAGGAUUAAAAACUUUAGGAUUUUUCUUUUUCUUUUUUUUUUUCCAUUAGGGGUGAAAGGGGCUCUUUUAAUCUGGUUCACACAGUCUCUACCUUUGGUGUAGCGCUGGUUCGUUUGAGCCAGGUUUGAUUGAAGGGGGCGGCAGGUCAAUGGAUGGAUAGAUGGAUAGAUGGAGGGCAAAAAGGAAGAGAGGACAGAGGAAGGGCCAGAGGGGAUGUGUAGAGGGAUGUGUGUGGGGCGUCCCAUGCCGAUGCUUUGAGGAUUAACGGGGUGACUUCUCUUCUGGAAUGUUCAGCUGACAGCCAAAACCCUCCCUCUCUGUCAGACAGGUGCAUAACAGACACAAACAAUUAUGAGAACGAAAGACGAAAAUUCAAAAGUGGAAAAUAAUGACACGCACUGGUGAGUCCUUCACUAAACACUUAUCUUUCACUAUCUCUCAACCAUUUCAAAUCAAACAGAGUUGUUUGACUGAACCGAUCACAGCUUGCAAAUGCAGAAAGAAACAUUAAUUUUGUUUAUUGAUGAAAACGGAGAGAUUAAAUCUAUCAAAGCAGCUUUAUUUUAUCUGCUUUGUCCGUAUAGUUUAACAACUGCCAUUAUAGAUGGGAAUGAUUUGAUUAUAUACGGUGAGAAGAUCCUGUAAACAUAGUUUUCUGUUAGUAAUUAUCUAUCAAAUCAUCUGGUUGUCAUCAUUUUGAUACAUACAGUGCCAGAAACAGUAAAGCUAUGUUUAUUCAACUUUUAUGACGCUUAAUUGCAUGUUUAUAGAUUUAAAACAGUCCUAUUGUACAUACUUCUUGACUUAUACUACGGCGUUAACAAACUCAAGGGGGCGAUAGAGUGAUAUAUAGUGUAUAUAUAGUGUUUAAAUUAAAUUCAUUAAAUUAAAUUUACUUGUCAAUUGUAAAUUAGUGUUACUUAAAAUACAAAAAAAACACACAACAAAAUUACUAAAACUUAAACUAAAAUAAAACCAAAAAUCUAAAAAUAAAACAAAUUCUAAAUAUUAAUACUAUAUUUUAAUGAUACAAAAAUAACAUUAUGAAUUGUAAUUCAUAUCCCAGUAUUUCAUUAUAGCAGUCUGUGUUUUGCUUUUAUGGUGCCAUCAGCCAAUCAGCAUCGUCAUAACGUAAUUUUCCUGCGGCUCCAGGGUGAUUAAUCACAUGGUAUUUACUCAGCUCAGGUGAUUGACUUAAAACAUUUGUGUGAGCAAAGAUGGCAGUAUUCAGAUUGCAUGCUUCCGGAAGUUCCUCUACCAGCCGAGUAACUGCCAUAGAGAGUAAUGGGAAUGCUAAUGGAUUUCUUUCUUUACAUAUUACUCCUUGGUCCAUACCAGACCCCAAUAAAACUCUCUAAUAACAUCACCAUGAUCAGCAUCUGUCCGACUCUAUAUAUCAUCACAAGUGAACUCUAUAUGAUCUGCAACAUCUUAAUACAAACUAAAGGACACAUACUGUAGUUAUCAUGGUAACAAGCCCAGCAAGGAAAGGACAUUUCUCUGCCCAUAAUUUAAGGUUGGGAAUGCCGUGGCUUGCCUGUGCUUGUGCUAAAUUUCAAGCAUUACAUUGCAAACAAAUAGGAGAUCAAUUAAGCCACAGUCGUGACUUUACAGGCAGACAUUUUCACAGAUGUCUUAGUAUUCAUAGUGAUGAAAGAGAUUUUUCCAUUAUUCCAUUUUAAACUCAUAACACACUUAGAUCCCAUUGCCAUUUUCCUUUUUUGGAAAUUCUGUUCCAGAAUUGCUUUCUUUUUAAUCUUAAGGUCUUCAGUGGGAGAGAUAACAGAUUGUUUGUGGGUGCGUUUUCUUGAUAAGAAGCCUGUGAAAUGAGGCUCUUUGUUUUCACAUUCACCUCUUCAUGAGAAUAGUCUCAUUACCUUGAUGUUUGAGGAAAAGGAGGGGUUAGUGUGAAUUUAAACUCAUUUCUAUUGAGCCAUCAGAUAUCAUUGAUGGUUUAAUUGCUUUCUGUAAAGUCCAUGAGCAGAUUUGAUAUCAGAUUAAAGAUGGCCUCAGGUUCUCCAGGAUAAAUGACCUCAGGUUAAAGUGGGUGCAGAUCCAUCUCAAAAUCCAUCAACACUUUCUUUGGUCCAAAGGUUCUUAUCAGUCGCAGUGUGAUAUAUCUUGAUCAGACCAAAUAGUUUUCCUUCUGACCCCAGGGGACGGCCUUGCCUUAUCAACUUUAAUGUCCACAUGCACUGCUGGAAGAGUUGGAGGCCUCAGGUUAUGUGCCGUUUAUCUUGGUUGACACUCCCUUUUUUUAAUUAAAUUAAAUCAAUUUGCAGGCCAUUCUUUAAAAGCAUUAAAAGCGGUUUUAUUUGAAGAAACAUCCUAUGUUUAUAAAAGCUGUUUUUUUCUUACAUCAAAAGAAGGAGAUGGUUUCAAGAAGCUGAGUUACAGAACUGGAAUGGCUCUCAGCGUGAAGAUCAGCCCAGAUCUCUUCCCACACACCUCUUCAGACAGCUGCAGUAAACUACAGGUAGGUGUGUUUUACCGCCGUGCACUCUGGAUCAUUCAGUGUGCCUCAGGACCACCAAGAAAGACUUUGUUCUUUGUCUGGGAACACAACAGACACAAACUCUCCCUCUUUUAAUUAGAGCACCGCCACACUUUAUCAACAAAGAUGCUGCUACUGGAGUUACUGUUGUCUAUAAACAGAGCUCCUUCAGUCAGUGUGAAUGAAUGAGUCAUCAUAGUCUUCAGGAUUCACUUUUCAAAGGUUUUGUUUUGGUAGUAGGUGUUUCAUUAUCAGAACAAUCCUGUUUUUGUUUUAUUUUUUGUGUUAUUUUCCAUAUUUAAGUUGGAGGGACUCUAUCAGGGAAUAGUAUAUCAUAGGGAAAAUUAUUUUGACUUAGGCCUAUUAGCAACCAAUUUAUUGUUGAGUUUAUUUGCAAAAACAGAUAACUUAAUUUUCAAAAAUCAUGUUUUUAUAAUGUUAUCAUGUUUUUAUUGUGUUAGUUAGCUGUUUUUUUGUUUGUUGGUUUUUUUUUUUUUAAUUGCAGUUUGAUUGAGAUUAAUUGGAAUGCACAAUUAAAAACCUAAAGCUAUAUAAAUUAAUAGCUUUAAUUUAAAUUUUAGUUAACAACAAUAACACC